GCGUUUAUAAGAAGAAGCGUUUUAUAAAGUCCAUGUGAAUAAGAGUAGUUCUGCAAAAUCUAACUCUACUUUGGUGUCACCUAGCUACUAAAUAUGAUAUUACCUUAAUUAAAUCUUUGUUUUCCAUUACUUUAAAACAUAGUGUUUUGGAACAUGAAUAUACAAUGUAAGUAGCAUGUGUUGGCAAACGUUAGAAAAUAUGUAAGCAUUAGAAAAAGGAAAUUACAUAAGUAGAUACUGAAUGUAAUUAAUAGUGAAGUACUCUGAGUAGCAGAAUGUCAUAGCACAUCCCCAAUAACACCACGAAAUGGACAGCGAAAAGCAGCAGUAACUCAAGAAUACCUCCGAAACCCAAUAAGAAAUUACUUGAACUAACAACUAGUAACCCCAGAAAUUACUUAAAAGAUCCUUUUGCUUUUCCAAAAUAAUUUCACACAAACAAUACUCACAAAAGAUCUGAAAUUUUAGUCUGUCAUAUGUGCACAGCGCUGCUGAUUUUCUUCAAGAUAUAUGCCAAUUUUUUGAGUGUAAAAGAUGUGUAAAGAUGUUCACCCCCCC
rnacentral:lncRNA from 1 species